CAUGCCACUGCUCAGGGAAGCACACCUCUGGUACCAGCCGGUAUCUACAAAGUAAAGAGAUGAGAGACAAUUACUACUGUCAGUGUAGCUCUGUUUCAGGAUGAAUAGCUGCUACCAGGUAUUCCUUAAUGACCCUUGCUUCAGAUUACUUGGAAACUAUGGCUUAUAGAUGAGACUUCAGAGGGAUUUAAUACAGGUAGCUGGGGAACUGGUUAACCCCAUGCCAUUAUGGGCUGGACCAAGCAAAAGGCUGACAAACACCAAAAGCUCAGCUGUGGGGAAGUGAGGCAGAGCUGGAUGAGCAGGAGCACCCCAGGAGAUGAGGUGCUGGACAGGCUAGCAAG